rnacentral:lncRNA from 1 species
AUGCCAAUCGCCACUGCCUCGCAGCCCGCACAGGAACCUUGUCUCUACUCCCGCUUGCACCCGAUUUCCGACGCCGUCCCCAAGCAGGGCCAUGUCUGUGAGGACAGGGGGGCGCGAUCGCAGGACCAGGCCCAGCUCGGGGGGAGUGGGGGAGCGGAGGGGGGCAGGGGAUCUGGGAGCCACAGCGGCAGCGGCGGCGGCGGCAGGCUGCUAGCGGCCGGGCCCACCUCUCCCUCUCAGUCCCCUCCUACUCCCUCCUCCUUCGCCCCCUCCUAUCACCACCACCACCCCCCUCACAUGGAGCCCCCAAGGACCCGAUCGCGGUCCCGGUCCGGGCUCUACCAGUACAGCAUGAACAAUCACCAAGGUGGCAGCAACGCCAGUUACGCUAAUAACAGUAGCAGCAGCAGCAGCAGUAGCAGUGGUAGCGGCGGCGGCGGCGGCGGAGUCAACCACUUUCAGCAGCACAACUCCGGGUGCGUGGCGCUCGGAGCCCACAGCCCCUCCGAGAACCACCGUACCCCAGGGGGUAACCCGAUCACCACCACCCCGAGAGCCGCGGGGCCCGGAGCCGGCAGAGCGCCGGCCGCAGGUGGAAUUGUUGCUCAACCUGCCCACCAAGAGCAUGCCUGCACUGAAGAAGGCGACAAGGUAAGACAGCAAAACUAAAGUUUUGAUAAGCAAUUUAAAAGUGGAAAUGGCUUGAU